UGGCCAAACCAGAUGCCAGAUACUAGGGAAAUCAUUGUCUUCUCUUCGUGCCAUGCUCGGGCAGAGCCUGCUGACCAGCAAUGCCUGGAGUUAGGGGCUGGACACAGCAGCACACAAUAACAUGAAGGCUUCUUGUGAGGACCUCAAAGCACUUUACAAAGGGGAGCAAAUAACCUCCUUUUACAGAGCAGGGGAACUAAGGCUCAGAGCGGUGAUGACUUCCCCAGGGUCACACAGUGAAUCAGCUGGAGAACCUGAAAUAGACGCUCGUCCCGCUGGCUUCCAGUCCUACAUUUCUUCCCACUGGACCACACUGGAGUGCCUAGCCAGUGAUGCUUCUCUAGAUCAGUGUUUCAGAGGAAGUGCUUCUACAAACAGUAGAUUGACUUAAUUGGAGGACGAAGGGGGAGUGGAUUCUGGCUAGACCCCGGAGAGAGGACUAGUUGGACCUGAUUUCUUAUUAUAAAGGGAGUUGGUCGUGAUCCUUAUAUUUAGCUUGCCUAACACUUUCCCUGGUCAAAGGCCCUUGCCUGUCAUUUGAGAAACUCUCAUGCUUCAUGUGUCUGCAGCAGAGUGCUGAAAUUCAACAGGGACCAUCCUGGGGCUGGAGAAGUGUCUUUUCUGUGUCCCAUGAAAUUCCAGUCAGGACCUAGAAGAGCUGCUGUUGUUAAAACAAAGGAUUCUGGCUUUGGCCGCUGGAGGGUACCACAUGUUGCCAAAGCCAGCCAAGAAUCUGUGCUCUUGUGUUAUGGUAGGACUCGGCCGUUGCCCGGUUUCGGUUGUAGCGGGUGGCGUGGUUUUGGCGGAGCCCAGGGGACUGUCCAUUGUCCCGCUGGAAGCCACAGGGACCUGGUGGUUGCUGCUGGGAGGGCGCAGGGUGAGGAUUACAGCUCAGCAUUGUGACGGGUCAGAACGGGAGACGUCCUGUGGUUGGGUGAGCGUUUGGGGGACCAGACGGGGGCCCCGACACAAGAAGGCAGCGAUCCUGCUGGAGGGAAGGAAAUGGCUGUGAUGGAAGCAAGCGCUGACUAAGGCUGAAUGACCUGGGGGCAGUGGGAACAGGACAUGGUGCCAGCCCGCUGUGAUCUGUUGCUUUAUCCCAUUCUUGGUUUAAAUAGUGUAAAAAUCAGGCAGUCCCCUCACUGGCUACCUGCCAGUCCUGUGAUGGGCUGCACUGAAGGAGACGGGCUGCAAGCAGCUCCCCCUCUCUCAGCAAGCAGAAAUCCAACUCCAGAGUUUCUGACCGAGUGUUCCUGAGCCUGGCUGGCAGGAAUUCCUGCAUCUGCCUCCGUCCAGCACAGCUGCAGCGCCAGGAUGUGGCCUAGGAGCUGCUGGCAGGUGUGGUAGCUGACUAGGCUGGUACCAGAUGGCGUCCGGGUGUCUCGGGUGGAUAGCAGCCAGCCCAGCAGCUCCCAUAUGCCGCGGUGAUACAGCAGAUAAUAAUCCCAAAUCCUUUUAUCUGGUGAAUUUGAAAUCCUGCAUUGUGAGCAAACUGCCCCCAAGGGACCUUCACCCUCCCAGGGCUUGUGCGCAGAACGGAAGAGGCAGGUUUUAAGUGUGGUCUGAAAAGUGACUGCAUGAAAAAAUGGCCACCUCUUAGUCUGCAGAUCGGCCCCUGUGGGAAUUCAGCAUCCUGGCUGCUGACUCCUGCGACAGACUUAAGCCGUGUUGUGUCUUUUUUGCCAUCCUAGCCCCAUAGUUGUCCCAGCAAGGAGCUGGGUUCUAGUUCACCCUACGCAGCACGCACAGAAUCGGGCGCUAAAUUGCAGCUGGUGACAUCUGUGCACCCCUGGUGAAGACUUAAGGGACUGUGGGGUGAUACCAAGGGCCUAAUGCAACAUGCUGAACGCGGGGCUCUUUGGUCGCGAUGCAAAAGAUGGAAAGAACCCAGCUGAAUCCCAGGUGCAGGGGCCAUGUUCUGGGUUUGUUGAAAACAAACUCGUCUCUUUACUUGUGAAAUGAGCGGAAUGGGUACAGACAUCAUUGAACCAGGGCCCUCGCAAAGGUAUUUUCCGUAAUGAUUUUCUGAGCAGGCUUUUCCCUCUUCUGUCAACAUUUUAAUCCCAUCAAUGUCCAGGCAACUUCUGGCAAGGAUGGGUCUGGUUUGGCUUCCAUGGGGAAUCCCCAAGGUACAUUUGCAGGUCUCAGGUUGUUUUUUUUUGUUUGUUAUGAUCUGCAUGAGAAUCUCAGAAACAAGGGCUCAGAGGAGCAGCCUAACCUUGAUCGGACUUCCUUCCUUCCUUCCUUCCCGCUUUGGAAAGAACUAAAGCCCUGAAAUGUAUCAGAGCAGACGCCAUAGCACAGCAAGCAUGGAGCCCGUUCAGCUCACCACAGCAAUUAUGACCACUGUAAACGCCUCGCGCAUUAUCGUGCAGUUUAUGCAGAACCAGCACCUGAAAAACCAGGUGAGGAGGCGACGGCAGCGCGGUUAUGAGGACAUGAACACACUUUUCUCUAAAACCGCGUUCCCCCU